GGAUAGCUCAGUUGGUUAGAGCAUGGUGCUGAUCAUACCAAGGCCGUAGGUUCGAUCCCCGUAAGGGACG